CCAAAUCUGCGCUUAAGUUUUUAUAAAACAUGCUGCAAAUGAAAGAAGUGGCAUCCAGCACAUGGCAAAAACAUCAAAAAUCACAACGCAUCUUCAAAGAACCCACUCCAGCAACUGUGUCCUGGAUGAAGAGAGCAUUUGAGAGCUGUCACAAAGUUGUCACAAAGAUGAAGGAAAAUGGGUUUGUUUAACAGUGCUGUUGACAUCCAAAAUGACAUAGUUGACACACGGUGCAUAGCAUCUGCAUCCAUUCACAGCACCACAACUUCUCCUCAGCCAACUGCCAUGCAUCUCAGUCUCCUGUCUGUCUCAUCCUGCACCAGUAACUACCAAGUUGAACUAGCUGACAUAUCAUGAACUGCCGCAGCAAUCUCCGCUCACAUAGAAAAUAAGGUGUCUGUCAGUUUCUCUGCUUUCACAUGAACUACAUGCUUAUAAAUGGUAUGAUUGGCAUUAAUUCAUGGAACAUUCUGAACACACAAAAAAUAUGUGCAUCACACAUUAUUUGAGGAUAAGAUAUAUCUUGGCUGUACCACGGGCUAUAAUUCAUUCCCUUUAUUUUUACCAAUUAACCUUUUUGUGCACUGAUAUUUGACUAACAAAAUUAUACAGUGCAACAAAAAAGGUCACCGUUUAAGACAUUUAUAGCUUGAGAUUAUUUUCAGAACUUUGAAAAGGACUGCACUGUAUGGAUUCCACUCAAAUAGAAAGCACAGUAGAGCUAAUGUGAGCUCAAAAAAUUGUACAGGACAAACAGUAGGCCUGUAACCCGAGUUUGUCUUGUUUCUGUGUCACUGCUUGAUCUUUGCGUAUGUCUAACAGUAUCGAGCAUUAAUGAAUAUGUUGGGGUUUUUUGGUAGAAUUCCACUGAAAAUGUUUGUUAGGGUCUUGGGGAUUAUUGAGACGUUGUAGUCCGUUCAGAGGUCUACUGUGUCGAAUGUUCCGAUGCAGCCCAUGUUUGUAAACAGCUGAUGAUGUGACAUUGUCAGCAGGAACCCUGUCAUCCAUCCACAAUGGCAGCAUUGUGAGGAGCUCUUGGCCUCUAGCCCGUUUGUCUCAUUGUCUGGGCUGGAGACAUGGGGGGCUGGGUGGGAACCGAAGGCCCGGCUAGACAUAACCAGAUGCAUACAUUCAUUUUGUCUGUAUGUGAGAGACAUCGAAGAUCUUUGCCUCUAGCUUACCCCCUCUAUGUGAGAUUCCGUGCCCCAGGUGCUACAGCUGCCCUUGUAAACAGUAGCUUGAUCAACACCACGGUCUGUGUGUGAUCACAAGAUAACACCCUUCAUAGGGUUUUCCUGGGAUGGGAUACAGUAGUUACUGAUGCUGUGCUAGCCAUCAGGUUUGAUCAGAAUGGACUUACUCAGGUAUCUGUUGCUGGCACCGGAAAGAGGGGCUCAUGAGAGGGCCACAUCAAAUUCAGCUUACCAUUAAGUCAGUUAUGUGGUAUUUAUUGGGUGUCUUCCCAAUAACUUUGGAUUUUUUAUCAGAAUUUUAGUUUUUAAAAUCUGUGACCAAAAUGUGUAAGAAAUUUGCAAAUGUAGUAUAAGUUUAAUUUUGUACUAUUAGCACAGCUUUAUGCUCUGAUUAUUUUUUAAUAUGUAUUCAGUUAACAGAAAGUUCAUCAAUAAGUAAUUCCAUGUGGUGUCUUGUGUUAUUGAUUUGUGUUGCAUUUUGUGAAAAACUAGAGAAUAACUGCAGCUUAGAGAAAGUACUUGGAACAGCGACAGCGUUCUUUUUUAAUUCAUGUGUCUUAACUGCUCAGUCUCACGGUUCCACGUUAUUUUUUGUCUAUGUGAGACAUGUUGUUACAGCCUAAUCAUCAUGCAGGACAAGUUCACGUUCACAGCAGUAGAAGAGUCUCAUGGGACACUGGCCACCCCAGUCUGAGGUGUUGCCAGGGGAGACACCAGCGAAUGCUGCAAUGUGCUGUUGAAAAACUUGACCUGUCAAAAUGUCUGAGACCAGCCACCCCCAUCCUUCACGAAUGGGUGUAGACCCAGAGACAGCAGUCAGAGCCUGGGAACGAUAGUGCUUAGGAAAUACUUCACAUGGAGUCUCCCCUCAACUAACAUGCCCCCCACAUGCUAACAGUUUCUUUUAUUGGUUCUAUGAGCUCUCUUCCUCAGUGUUUGCCAUAAACCUCCCCUGUGCAUAAAAAUGAGAGGUUUGUGUGCCUGUGAGGAUGUCAAGGUGUGUGAAUUUGUGUGUAUAAAUAUAUACUUUUGGAAUACAGUGUGUUGUCUGCUUGUGUGUUUGUGCAUGCACACUAUUUGAAUGAAUCAUAUGCUGUGUAAGACC